rnacentral:rRNA from 1 species
UACAGAGGUGCCAAGCGUUGUUCGGAUUUAUUGGGCGUAAAGGGUGCGUAGGCGGUGAUGCAAGUUGGAUGUGAAAGCCCGGAGCCUAACUCCGGAAUGGCAUUCAAAACUGCAUCGCUCGAGGUCUGGAGAGGUGACUGGAAUUCUCGGUGUAGCAGUGAAAUGCGUAGAUAUCGAGAGGAACACCAGAGGCGAAGGCGAGUCACUGGACAGAACCUGACGCUGAGGCACGAAAGCCAGGGGAGCAAACGGG